UAAACAAACCGGCGCAACUCGAAAACAUUAGUCUCUAAAAUUUGGUUCUUGGUUGUUUUUAGAAAAUUCGUGUACGUAAAAUCCAAAUGCAGCCAAAUGGAAACAGGAAACAUACACAAUUAGGUCGCAUUGAUUCAGGAGUAGCGAGACAGGAAUCUGAUAAAAGGACCAAAAAUUAAAUUUGCCUCAAAAAUGUUGGAAAAUGAGAAGCAAAUCCAACACUCGACAGCUUCGCUAAUUUUGCCAGGGCGUCGACGGCCCAGGAUGACAUGACCGGCGAUGGCACUGUGCUUGUCAUUGGAGAGCUGCUCAAGCAGGCUGACGUUUUUUCCUCGGAAGGUCUGCACCCUUGCGUCAUUGCCGAAGAAGGCUUCGACGAGGCCCGCAAGAAGGCCAUGGAGAUUUUGGACAGCGUCGAAAUUCCUGUCGAAAUCACCAAGGAAGGCCUCUCGGGGGUCUCUAGAACUGUCCUCAGAACUAAACUACACUCCAGUCUGGCAGAUCAGCUUUAAAGUAGCGAGCUUGCGUCGAUGGAGAUUUGAGCAUUUACCAGCAAAGACCGCCCUCUUGACCUUCACAUGGUUGAAAUCAUGGGAGAUUUAGCUCAAAACUGAGAUGGACACAAAUUCGGUUCAAGGGAAUUGUAAUGGACCACGGUGCAAGGCACCACCGGACCACGUCUAUGGAGCACGAAACGAGUGAGGUUGCCUCACGGUUCUUUCACAAGAGUGCCGAAGAGCGAGAGAAGUUGCUUAAGGCCAAACAGACUUAAUUGAGAAGAGGGUUCAGAAGGUCAUUGAACUUGAAAGGGCUGUUUGUUCUGGCAACAAGAAUGGGAUUUGUUGUCAUCAAUCAUAAAAAGGUAGGAGAUUAAUUGUUCAGAAGCCUUUAUAAUAAAUUUAAAUAAAACAUUAUUACGGGGAAUCGAUCCCUUGUGUUCGGGAGGUGACGCAAGGCGCCAAACUUGCCUGCUCGAGGUUUACAUACCUUUUACAAAAUUGAUAAUUCCUGUACUGGUUUAUCUAUUUAAAUUACAACUAUUUGUAUUGUUUGGUAAUGGUUUACAUAUAACAAAUACAAACCGUGUAUUUUUCAAAGAUUGUCUUCUUUUAUUUUAUUCUCAAUGACAUUAAAUGU